CUAAGCUCCUGUGUACUUCCAACAUUGUGCAGCAGAACACAUUCGCCCUGCAUGCCAAUUUACAGCAUGCUAAUCCAGUCAAUGGUUUACAUUGUUAACCCAGUCAGACUUCACCACAAGCCAUCUCAUGAACUGAGAAAAUUGUGCCCUGAGAGGACAUGAGAUUGGCUUUAAGGUAACAGACCAAAUAGAUAGGAAGGACAGUCAGCUUUGGAAAGAAUGCAGAUUUCUCACUCUGAAGCCACAUUCAGGUUGUAACCCCAGGCUGCCUCUGAAGAAAUGGCCCUCUAUGCUUUGACUUCCUAUGGCAGGACAGUGAGACUUUUCAACAACAGUUUAAGAAGAAAAAAAGGCAGGUUUGCAGUUCUGCCAUGUGAAAUUGCAGUCAGUCAAGCGUGGUAACUUUUCAAGGGCCACACCGUGAGCUGUUUCCGGAGUGGGGAAAACCUUGAUUUCAUUGGAAGCUGAAAUCCCUGAAGAAGACCUCCGUGAAGGUUCAUGAUCCACGCAUGUGUGGAGGCUCUGAAAAGAAAACAAUUUCCCUCCUCUCCAGACAGGAGUUCCCUCCCGAAGGAGUGAGCUGGCUGUGGAGAGGGAAAGGCAGGCCCAAACUGGAUCCUUCUUGCAGAGCUGGAAGUGAUGGCACCCAUCUCAGGAAUCCGAGAGUUUGGGAGAAUCCAGUGAUGUUUGCGAUGCCGUGGGCCCCAUAUGCAUGCAGAAAGAUGUGCAACCUCUACACUAAUGAAGAAAGGAAAGCAAUCUGAGCACGGAGGAAUAGUUUUCUAGUAGAAAUUAAAAAGACUGAAAGCUUUCAUUGUUGUCAAGGACAUGGGGUGUUAAGCACAGUACAAGACAGCAUAUCCUUUGGUAGAGCGAUGUAGUCAUAGCCAUCAAAGUUUUAAAACUCACGCAUCCUUUGAGGUAUAAUCCAUUUCAGAAAAUGCAUCUUAUAAAAAUAUAAAUCCUAUGAUAUUUUCAAUAUACAAAAGCAGUAAUUCCAAAUGAUUCAACUUUAAUACAAGGGAAUUCAUUAUAGCAUCUUGCAGUGAUGACAGUUUGGAAAGUGACAAUGUUCAGCAGGAGGAAGCUGAUUAAAUAGUGGCACACAUCAUAUGAAGUUUUUAAAGACUGUGACACAUGCCUGCAAUCCCAGCUACAUAGGAGGUUGAGGUAGGAGGAUCACAAGUUCAAGGUCAGCCUAAGCAACUUAUCAAGACCCUGUCUUAAAAUUUAAAAACAAAAAAAUUAAAAGGGUUGAGGAUAUAGCUCAGUGGUUGAGUGCCCCUGAGUUCAAUCCUCAGUACUUCCAAAACAAAAC
rnacentral:lncRNA from 1 species